rnacentral:rRNA from 1 species
GACGAACGCUGGCGGCGUGCUUAACACAUGCAAGUCGAACGGAAAGGCCCUGCUUUUGUGGGGUGCUCGAGUGGCGAACGGGUGAGUAACACGUGAGUAACCUGCCCUUGACUUUGGGAUAACUUCAGGAAACUGGGGCUAAUACCGGAUAGGAGCUCCUGCUGCAUGGUGGGGGUUGGAAAGUUUCGGCGGUUGGGGAUGGACUCGCGGCUUAUCAGCUUGUUGGUGGGGUAGUGGCUUACCAAGGCUUUGACGGGUAGCCGGCCUGGGAGGGGGACCGGCCACAUUGGGACUAAGAUACGGCCCAGACUCCUACGGGAGGCAGCAGUGGGGAAUAUUGCACAAUGGGCGGAAGCCUGAUGCAGCAACGCCGCGUGCGGGAUGACGGCCUUCGGGUUGUAAACCGCUUUCGCCUGUGACGAAGCGUGAGUGACGGUAAUGGGUAAAGAAGCACCGGCUAACUACGUG